GAAAGCGCUUCCCGCCCUCGGUGUUCCUGCUCCCUCCCCCCCCGGAGGAGCUCUCCUCCCCCCGCCCCACCCUCAGCCUCACCUGCCUCGCCCGCGGCUUCUUCCCCGACUCCAUCGACGUCCAGUGGCAGAAAAACCAGGAGAAUCUCCAAAACAGCCAAAACUCCCCCAAAUUCCGGGUGGAGACGGGGCCGGCGCGGCGGGAGAUGGGGGGGGAGGGGCGCUACUUCCUCUACAGCCGAUUGGAGGUGGAGAGGGCGGAGUGGGAGCGGGGCUCCGCCUUCGUCUGCACCGUGGUGCACGAGGGGCUGCCCCUGCGCUUCCUGCAGCGCAGCGUGCACAAACACCCCGGUAAUUAGCAUAAUUAAUGAUUAAUAGCUGAUUAAAGGUCGUUAUUAGCGAAAA